AAUUUCUUUUAGUUUCGCAAAAGCUUUUUAGAAUUCAGGUAACUAAAAUCCGCGGAUCUUCUCAACCAUAGGGGCAUAGGAAGUGUGGGAAUGUAAUGUAGAAAAUAAGGAUUUGGGUAUUUUUGGGCAAUACCUAGCUCAAUACACCACUGGACAUGAGUGGGUCAUACCAGCAAAGGUUAUAGCCAGAUUAUGUGGAUACUAAUGAAAAGUCAUUUAUGAAGAAAACGAAUAAUAGUAAGGAAAUUACCUUAACUUGUCGAUGGCGAUGAUCCAAAUUCUACGUAAUAAUUAUGUAGAAGUCACCUAAAAAAUAAAUAUCCAUUAAUAAAUGUUUUUAAGUACUGUUAGAAAAUACAAUCUUUACUAAGUAAUAAUAUAAUUCGUCUAUAAAAAUUAUGAACACUUUUUUAGAAUUCAUUACGUUUGGUUGUUAUGACUAUCACCUACAUGUAGUUCUUCAUAUUCUGUGAACUAAGUUUCUUCUAGGGGAACUUGACUAGUUAAUUGUUCAUUUGAAUAAAAUCACUUAGGAUUGAAUUUUAAAUACCUCUCCUUUGAAAUUCAUUAUUCAGGCCUAGUGACUGUUUAGCAAAAGAGGAUGAAGGUUAUUAGAACCUAUCCAUGUAAUUUCUAUUUUGUUAAAAAGUUCUCAUAAAAUGUUUAGCGUAGUAUCCUACUCCUAUAGAUUCUUAUAUAAACAAGAGGAAUAACCUAAUAUGAAUCGAUUUUUUUUUCUUUGCAUAUAGUAAACCUAAAAAAGCGUAAGCAUCUUAUACUGUAGUUGUCGUUCGUGGGAGCUUCCUCAAUCAUCCUGCACAGAAAAAAUUCCAUUAAGUUCGAUAGUGUGAUAAAAUUAUAUUGUUUUUACUAUAGAUAUUAGUAAUUAGAAUAACCAUUCAAUAUUCAUACAUAAGUGUUUUACUUAUACUGUGCAAUAAUCGAGACAGAAGCAUUACUGAUCAGGAGAAACUCAACCAGGCAAUUCAAGAACGUAUGAUGAAUUAGGUACAUAAGGACCUAUGAUAGAUUAUUAUUUUUGUGCAAAUAAUAAUAAAACUACCGGCCGAUUAAACCUAAACUCUGCUCUGGAUAACAGUGAGCAAAACCAGUACAUCCCACAGAUAGAUUCUAUGCAUACUAACUUUAGUGUGCUCUUAUGAAAUCUUAUGAUAUUUUCAAAAUAAUCGAUAGAAAUCUAAAAAUACUCAUGUGUAUGACGACUUAUUAAACAGAAUCACAUAUGUAUUCAUACGAUGCCUAAUCGGAAAAUAUGACAAUAUAAUUAAUCAAAAAUGAAGAUAAUUCGAAAUGACAUCCUUCAUACUUGGUCAGUGAUAUUUUGUAUAACGAAAAUGUAAAACCGCCGGACAUGAGUGGGUGAUACCAGCGAAGGUUAUAGCCAGAUUAUGUGGAUACUAAUGAAGAGUCAUUUAUCAUGAAAAGUAAUAGUAGUUGGGAAAGUACCUUAACUUGUCGAUGGCGAUGAUCCAAAUUUUUAGAUAUAUUUAAGUAGAAGUCACCUGAAAAUUAAAUACCAAAUAAUACAUUUUUUUGAGUACUGGUAGAAAUUACCCUCUUUACUAAGUUAUAUUAAAUUUCAUCUAUAAAAAUUAUGGACACUUUUUUAGAAUUCAUUAGGUUUCGUUGUUAUGACUAUCACCUACUUGUAGUUCUUCAGAUUCUGUGAACAAAGUUUCUUUGAGGGGAACCUGACUAGUUCACUGAUGAUUUGAAGAAAAUCAUUCAAAAAUGAAUUUUAAAUAACUCUCCUUUGAGAUUCAUUAUUUAGGCCCAGUGACUGUUUAGCAAAAAAGGAUGAAGGUUAUUAGAACCUAUCUAUGUAUUUUCUAGUUUGUUCAAAAGUUUCCAUAAAAUGUUGAGCGUAAUAUCCUAAUCCUAUAGAUUGUUAUAAAAAGUAGACGCAUUUCCUAAUAUGAAUCGAUGUUUUUUUUUGCAUAUAGUAAACCUAGCAAAUCGUAAUCAUCUUACACUGUAGUUGUCGUUCGUGGGAACUUCCUCAUUCAUCCUGCACAGAAAAAAUGCCAUCGAGUCCAAUAGUGGGAUAAAAGUAUCUUGUUUUUACUACAGAUAUUAGUAUUUAGAAUAACGAUUCAAUAUUCAUACAUUAGUGUUUACUUAUACUGUGCAAUGAUCGAGAAAGUAACAUUAUUUAACAGGAAAAAUCAAAAUCGAUCAAUUCAAGAACUUGUGAUAAAUUAGGGGCCCAAUGACCUGUAAUAGAUUAUUAUUUUUGUGCUAAUCAUAAUAAUACUGAUGCCCGAUUAAACCUAAAGUCUAAUUUGGAUAGCAGUGAGCUAAACUAGUGCAUCCCACAAAUAGAUUCCAUGCAUACUAACUACUAAUGUGUUGGUAUGAUAUCCUCUGAUAUUUUCAAAAUAAUCGAUUUAAAUCAAAAACUACUAAUGUGUAUGACGAAUUAUUAUACAGAAUUACAUUUCUAUUCGUACAAUGCCUAAUCAGAAAAUAUGACCAUAAAAUUAAUCAAAAAUGAAUACAAUUCGAAAUGACAUCCCUCAUACUUGGUCAGGCAUAUUUUGUAAAUCUAACAUGUAAAACCUCUUGUGGCAAAAUGCUUUGAACAGCUAAUAUGAAAUUAGUUAAAGUAAAUAGAUCCAUGAUUAAUACUAAUUCCUUAAUGUGGAAAGGGCAAUAGUAAUUAUAACAAAGUCCUUUGUUUGAUUAGUUAUACCGUAUCGAAUUUCUUUUAGUUUCGCAAAAGCUUUUUAGAAUUCAGGUAACUAAAAUCCGCGGAUCUUCUCAACCAUAGGGGCAUAGGAAGUGUGGGAAUGUAAUGUAGAAAAUAAGGAAUUGGGUAUUUUUGGGCAAUACCUAGCUCAAUACACCACUGGACAUGAGUGGGUCAUACCAGCGAAGGUUAUAGCCAGAUUAUGUGGAUACUAAUGAAAAGUCAUU
rnacentral:lncRNA from 1 species